rnacentral:rRNA from 1 species
GCUUACGGCCAUACCACCCUGAACACGCCCGAUCUCGGAAGCUAAGCAGGGUCGGGCCUGGUUAGUACUUGGAUGGGAGACCGCCUGGGAAAACCAGGUGCUGUAAGCU